CGGGCCCGCGAGCCGCGGAGGGGCCGCCCCGCGGUCACCGUGCAGCACGGGACGCGGCUGGUCAGCGACGGUUCGAGACCGCCCGGCACCGG
rnacentral:tRNA from 1 species